UAGACCCUUGGUCUAUCCACUCAUUAGCAUCCAUGCUAACUACUUACUAUAACCAUUAUAGUAACACCACUAUCAACAUAACAUAACCUGGAGCAUCUCAAGUACCAUGAUCAUCAUCAUCAUAGAUACACCAUCAUCAUGCCUAUCCAAGUCAUGAACAACACAAUGAGCAUCAUCGUACCAUAAUAUCAUAGUGGAAAGAGUUCAUCUCACUCUUGUACCCUACCUCACCGAUUGUAGCCGCUCCUACAACUCAUUUAUAGCCUCCCCCAGAGAUCAUCUCCUUCCAAUGCACACAAGGCAAAAGGAAGCACAUAUCUGCAGAUAGAACCAGGAUUUACGAGGUACAACAAGUAGACUUAUCCUCCACUCUCAUGCUCAUAGUCACAAGCUCAGGUACAUCCCAACACUCACUCAUGCUCCACUCUCAACCAUAAGUCAAACUGACCUUAAACAUAACCACUAACCUCAAUCUCUAAUUAUAAUGUUCCAUAGCUCCUCAGGCUUGGUUCAUGUCCAUUCUUCAUCAAAUUCACCAUUUUUCACCAAAAUGCUCUGUGAUAUUCGAUUAUCACUUAGGGUAAUCGAUUAUCUUAGUGAAAUUUACCCAGAGACAUCACACAAGAAGGGGUAAUCGAUUAUUAUUGUUAUAUAAUCACUAUUAACAAAAAGGGAUUAAAAAGCGCUAUAUACGCUUCGGUUUUACAGAAACCGAAGCGUAUAAAAGCGCGAUUUUACUGAAAUCGAAGCGUAUAAAAGUGUAUACAACCGAGGCAGAAAAUACUGCUCCAACCCUACAAAUGGGACUUUUCACCUGCCAACUUUUCUGAGUCAGAGAUACUGCCUCGGUUCUGGGAACAACCAAGGUAGAAAACGCUACUCCCCACCUGCAAGAGGUCUUUUCACCGUGACAGCCAGUCUGAUAUACGUCUACUGCUUCGUUUCUUUGACCAAUCGAGGUAGUAGAGGUUGGUCAACUCGUUAUUUUAAUUUUUUAUUUUAUUUUCUCGAGGGUUUAGGCCUCGAUUACCUCGUUAACUGAGGUAGUAAGGUGGUUAUGCCUCUGUUAAGUGGAGAACCGAGGCAGUAGCCUGUUUAAAUUUCAGAUUUUGCGAAAUAAAACCACUCUUCCUUGUUCAUCUUCUUCUCAGCGCGAAAGAAAAAUCCUUGCGCGAACUUCUUCCCUGUUCAUCACGUUUGCUUCCAUCGCCGGUGACCGCCGUUUGCCGUCGUCGUCUCGUCCUCUCCGUGUGGUCACCACCGCCAACUGCUUUGGUCGUUUCCUCCACGACGUUUAUCCCUCCGUUUGGCGCCUUUGGUUCCAUCUAUGCCGCUGGUGCCCCAUUGGUCGUCGCCGUCUCCGCCUCCUGCAUUGUUACCACCUACAAGCUUCCUCCACCACCUUUCUGCAUUGUCACCACCGCCUUGUGCCUUCUUGGUGCGUGAUAUUGUGUUUUUGUGGUGAGGUUUUAUAGCUUCUAAAACGCGGACAUUCUUCAUUGUUGAUCAACUUUCACGCUCCCAGAUAUAUGGCUGAGCCACCUUAUUCAUCAAGGGAUGAAGUCCCCACCACUUCUAGACAUAAGAGAGGAGCGACGAGGUUAUGACAGCUUAUACUUAGAAGAAAUGCAGGUGAGAGGACACUUGACAUUAUUGACGUGGUCACUAGAGUUGCAUCUGGCCCAAAUGUAGAUGUAUUUAGGUCUUAUCUUGGAGUACUAGCACGUGAUCGUAUCUCUAUAUUUACUCCAUCCUUUGACCAUGUAUCUGAGGUUGAUCGAAAACUUAUCUGGCAAGAUCUAUUGAUGACAUUUGAUAUGCCAAAUGUCGAGAGCCUAAGAAUUAGGUGUUUAUUUGCAAUUGCAGAAAGAUUUCGGGGGUUUAAGACAAAACUGACGUCUAGAUAUAUAUUUGGAGCAAAAAGUAAUGAAACUCCAUGUUCUAAAUAUUCUGCAAUUGACGAAGAAACAUGGCGUCAGUUUGUAGAGCUUUGUUCAUCCGAGACGUGACAGGUAAGUGUAGGUAAAAUCAUUCAAUUCAUCAUUCAUAAUUUUAUAUCAUAACAAUUGUUUCAUUUUGUCACCGAAAACAAGGUAAAAAGCACAUGGUAUAAGUGCUCAAAAUAAAAAUCCACACCCACUGUCUCGUGGUGGAUACAGGAAGCUUGAGGAGAAAAUAAUGAAGCAGAAGUCAAAUAGUAGACUUUCACUUUCUGAGGGUGGUGACCCUCCUCCUCCUCCUUCACCACCAUCUCGGCACGAGAAGUGGAAGUUAGCCCGUUUAAGAACAUCGGGCUCCUACACUUCCGACACUACUA